rnacentral:SRP_RNA from 1 species
CAUUGGUCCCCCGCAACGACAAGCUGUGAACCCCGCCAGGCCCGGAAGGGAGCAACGGUAACAGUGGACUCGUGUGCCGGGGUGCGGCUGGUGCGG